rnacentral:rRNA from 1 species
UACGGAGGGUGCGAACGUUAAUCGGAAUCACUGGGCGUAAAGCGCGCGUAGGCGGUCUGUUAAGUGGGAUGUGAAAUCCCCGGGCUUAACCUGGGAAUUGCAUUUCAAACUGGCCGACUAGAGUACGGUAGAGGGAGGUAGAAUUUCCUGUGUAGCGGUGAAAUGCGUAGAUAUAGGAAGGAAUACCAGUGGCGAAGGCGGCCUCCUGGAUCGAUACUGACGCUGAGGCGCGAAAGCGUGGGGAGCAACAGGGAUUAAGA